AUUGAACGCUGGCGGCAUGCCUUACACAUGCAAGUCGAACGGUAACAGGUCUUCGGAUGCUGACGAGUGGCGAACGGGUGAGUAAUACAUCGGAACGUGCCUAGUAGUGGGGGAUAACUACUCGAAAGAGUGGCUAAUACCGCAUGAGAUCUACGGAUGAAAGCAGGGGAUCGCAAGACCUUGCGCUACUAGAGCGGCCGAUGGCAGAUUAGGUAGUUGGCGGGAUAAAAGCUUACCAAGCCGACGAUCUGUAGCUGGUCUGAGAGGACGAUCAGCCACACUGGGACUGAGACACGGCCCAGACUCCUACGGGAGGCAGCAGUGGGGAAUUUUGGACAAUGGGCGCAAGCCUGAUCCAGCAAUGCCGCGUGCAGGAUGAAGGCCUUCGGGUUGUAAACUGCUUUUGUACGGAACGAAAAGCCCUGGGUUAAUACCCUGGGGUCAUGACGGUACCGUAAGAAUAAGCGCCGGCUAACUACGUGCCAGCCGCCGCGGUAAAAC
rnacentral:rRNA from 1 species